GACGAACGCUGGCGGCGUGCUUAACACAUGCAAGUCGAACGGAAAGGCCCUGCUUUUGUGGGGUGCUCGAGUGGCGAACGGUUGAGUAACACGUGAGUAACCUGCCCUUGACUUUGGGAUAACUUCAGGAAACUGGGGCUAAUACCGGAUAGGAGCUCCUGCUGCAUGGUGGGGGUUGGAAAGUUUCGGCGGUUGGGGAUGGACUCGCGGCUUAUCAGCUUGUUGGUGGGGUAGUGGCUUACCAAGGCUUUGACGGGUAGCCGGCCUGGGAGGGUGACCGGCCACAUUGGGACUGAGAUACGGCCCAGACUCCUACGGGAGGCAGCAGUGGGGAAUAUUGCACAAUGGGAGGAAGCCUGAUGCAGCAACGCCGCGUGCGGGAUGACGGCCUUCGGGUUGUAAACCACUUUCGCCUGUGACGAAGCGUGAGUGACGGUAAUGGGUAAAGAAGCACCGGCUAACUACGUG
rnacentral:rRNA from 1 species